GGAGAGGGAGAGAAGAGGAAUAGGCAGGGCAAAGUGCACAAAGGCUGCUACAACAGGAUUUAGAUGUCACCAAAAGCCACUACCUGCACAGCAUAUAAGCAACUACCUAAAACAGAAACUAUUUCUGGAAUUGUAGCUGCUGAAUAAGAAGCCCUGGAAGACUAAACUGUAUUUGAUAAUGAGGUCACAGAUGAGGAGUGGAGAGAGGAAAGGGAGGGUAUUCAUGUGUGGGUAGGACAAAGAGGAAACUUUUGCACUGGUUCCUGUGGUUUAGAAGUAGCAAGAAAAGUAAACCUGUUGAAAAUGGACAUAGGUACUCUCAAUCCCUGUUGCUCUCAAUCUCAAUACAAAACUGACACUUGCAUGAAUACAUAGAGGUUUUUUAUUUGAAAUUAUAAAAUUCUUCCAAAACAAAAUUUUUCCCAGUUUUCCCAAUUAGUCUAGUACCUAUUGCAUCAUCUGUAAAUCUGUUUAGAGUGUGUCUUUCAUGCUCAAAAAAAAGUCAAUUUAAACUGCUUCAUCCAAAGGCAAUGAACUAUUUUAUUUGUGCCAAGCCGUAUAUACAAGAUGCUGAAUUCCUUCAAUAUUCUGUAAUAUCACUGGAGUCAGGCUGGAGCCCCUGGCAAGGAUAGUACCAGGAAUACAUGAAGAUGGCAAGCAGUCUGUCUAUAACAGUUCAGUCCUUCAUCUUUGGCCACCUUUGGGACUUAUGUCUAUAAAAAUUUCAGUAGGUUGGAGAAGUAACACUACUGAGUAUCUCUUUAGUGAGAAUCUCCCCAGAAAACACAGUCAGUCCUAUGGCCACUGCUGAAAAUGUGUGGACAGGAUGUGCUAGCAGUCCAGGGUUGGAGAGCUGAGGGAACAGCUCUGCUUCCUUUCACAGAGAAUCUGAGCAAGAAUUUGGACAAGCUUCCUCAGUGACAGCAAGUAAUAUGUCCAGAUUUAUCUUCAGAAUAAGAAAAAACUUAAUUAUCCCAUGCAGAUAAUAUUGCAAAAUAGUUCUGUAAUUAGGAUUAAUUAGAAGGAAUAAGCACUCUGUGUCAAAAAUAACCAGGACAAUAUAAUCAUUUAGUGAUUUAGGUUUUGCCCUUUUCCCAUAUUCUUCAUUGUUUCUGUCUCUUUUUGUGUAUUUAUGUGCUCAACUUUCAUGGUACUCUUUGGUGGAUUUUUGGGGCAAUGUAAGGAAAGACCUUAGUGUCUGUUGUAUGUUAGGACUUGAUGAUCUUAGCAGUCUUUUCCAAACUUUAUAAUUCCAUGAUUCUCUGUAUUGGCUGAAAGACAACUGAGAAGUUGUUAAUUUAAAGUUGGGUCCUGUAUCAGUCAGUCUUUCCAAAAGUGAGAUGUCAUGUUUGAGACCAUACUACAGACCAAGGACUUGGAUGCAGCAAUGGCUCAGAGGCCGAGGACAUUUGCACAGACACAACAACGGGUAUUUGGGGACUCUGGACACAGACAUGCAUCAAAACAUGUGGAAACACAUGAGGUCUCUUUAGGAACUAUUCUUAAUCAAUUCACAGGAUUGGUAUAGUCACUGAUCAGCCAGGUGGACAAGCUUAAUUUAAAAAUUGCUAGAAAACCAAGAUAAAGCUGCUGAGUAGGAGGAGCUGAUCCAAUGUAUCGCUAACCUGAGUCUGGGCUAUGCUGACUUUUAAUGGGCUUUUUCAUAAGUUGUUUUAAACACUAUAAAGCAAAGGGGCAGAGAUUUGCAGACAAGUGUGAAAAGCACAGUAAAUAAUCUAGUGAAGUUAGAGUGUAGAAAGAUAAACAAAUUGAUAGAACAUUUUUUCAGUAAAAUUGUUUUAAAAUAAUUACUUCUUUUUAUUCAAAUGGUAGAGUGUGAGCACUGUAAAAGUCUUUGGAAGUCUAAACUUGAUUUUUGGCAUGGUUUUCUAAAGUAAUGAAGAUUAUGUUGUUGGUCUACUGUCUUUUCAGUAUGUUUUGAGAAGAUCGGUUGAUUUGUACCACCAUUAGAAAGGCAGAGAGUUAAACUUGAGCUGAUUUAGUGUUUGUUUGGGCUUUUUUCAGUUGACACCUUUAUUAUACUAGAACAUAUAGAAUAUUAUCCUAGAAUAUUAUACCGGGCUUCACUCCUUUAAAACAGAAAGAACCAGAUAUACAGAUAUCUAAAGAGAGUGUGUGAUUGUCCAAUUAUGCUUGUAUAAGUUAUAAGCCUAUAUAAACUAUUGAGAUUUAAACUAUCUUAAAACUGUAAACUAUGUUUAUAAUUACAACUAUAUAAUUAUACAGAUUUUCAUAAUAAAUUUAAAUAUUAGCAUGAUCUGAUAAAUGCUAGAACAUUUUAACAGGUUCCAGGUAGCUGAAAGACUAGAUGGAACUUUCUAGAAGGUUGUGUCUUCUUUUUCUGUGUUCUCCAGUGCUAUGUUGAAGCUUUGCAGACCUUAUUUGUGUUUUUCACUCACUGCAUUACUUCUUAUCAUGUUAUGGGGGCAUAAUAAUUUCUGCAUCUGAACAAGCAAAACAUUAAAUCCCCUCACUUUACUGUUAGUUUACCACACUGAAUUACAGCCAGAAGAAGGGGUUUACUCACAGUUGCAGAUAUCUUAAUGCAGAGUGUGGAACAGACAUCAGAUCUUUUGAGUCACAACCCAACUAAAACUAUUUUGGCAAUCUAGCUCAAUGUAAAAACUGUACAGCAUUGCUGAUAAGAUUACUGAUGAAUGUUUGGAAGCAAAAGGUAAUAUUUGGAAAACUGAACAGCAUUUCUAAGGUUACAUUCCUGACCUCAUAAGCAGAACAGUCAAAGUAUUAGGGCUGCAGUUAUAUUUCUUUAAGGGGAUGGGCCCACACCCAUCAUAGUCUGAUAGCUGUGAUUUCUGAGCGUGGCAUCACUGGUGCCACCUCCCAGCAGGACCACCCCACACUGCACCACAUCAGUCUGGAGACACUGCACCUCAGAGAGAUUAGAACUGAUCUGGUCUCAGGGACAAAGAGACAGCUCUGGAAAGGGAUCCUGAGAUCCAGGGAAGAGCAGGAUUCUCUCUGUAAGUAGCCAACUCCCUCCUUAAAAAAUCCAAAGAAUUUCCUGGAAAAAAGUCAUAUGACUUCCAAAAUAGAGUCAAGUAAAAACACCUUCAGCUUUACCAUACCUCACUCCUCUGUAUGCCUUCAUUGAUGUUUUGGUGGAUUAUUUCAGGUCAUUGGAAGAAAGCCAGAACUUAUGUCUGAGAAUUUUCUGAGAAAUGGACCUGUUAUAGGUUCCCAGAAUCAUGUGCAAGGCACAAAUGCAGACUGACAUGGUGGGCCACGAGCAGCCUCACUCUGGAGCACAGACCCCACUGCAGGAUACCCCUUCCCCACAGGAGAGGACCUGAAGCUGUCCAUGGCAAAGUUCAUGCUUCCCUACAACAGAGCAGAGACACCACCAUCUAGGUCUGAAGGGAAGGAGACUCUACAGCCUCUGUGGUCCUCAUGUUCCUGUGCUCAAUCACUCUCACAUCAGUGCAAUGAAGUUUAUUGUGAUGUGAAUGAUAAAGAGGUUUGACUAGCUGCAGAAGAUUUGUAUUGGAUCUGUGUAUGACUCUCUUCAGUUAAGAACAGGAAGACUGAAAUACCCUAAGUAUCCAGCCAAACCAAAAAGCUUCUUGUGCAAUUACUUGAACAAGACGGUAACCAGCCUUCCUUUAUGUACUCAGAAAGGAUUGAUAUUCCCAAUGUUAAGGCAGGCAGCAUAAAAUCUCCUAAUAAUCCUAGUAUGCUAGAUUUUACUGUUUUGAUUGGUUGGUUGGGUUGGGUUUUGGGGUUUUUUUUACUGUUGUUUUUUGUUGGUUUGGGGUUUUUUUGUUUGGUUUGGUUUGGUUUGGUUUGGUUUGGUUUGGUUUGGUUUGAUUUUGGUGGACGUUCUUUAGUUUGGCUUGGUUUGGGUUUUGGGGUUUUGGGUUUUUGUUUGGCUUGGUUUGGUUUGGUUUAAUUUUGGUGGAGAUUCUUUAGUUUGUCUUGGUUUGGGUUUUGGGGUUUUGUUUGGUUGGUUGGUUUGGUUUGGUUGUUGGGUUUUUUGUUUUUAUUUGGGAUUUUUUGUUAUUUAUUUCGUGCACCAGGACUCUUUUAAUCAUCUGCUGUUCUUCUUUUUAUACUUUCCAAAAAAAAAAAGAGAAGCAGCUAGGGUAUUUUAUACAGAAAGAGUGAAUGAAGAGAUGUAUGAUACAGCCUUAUUCCCUUUGCACCUUAGAACUCAACAGAGUAAUACUUUCUCUCUGUGUAUUAACUUCUUCCACCUUCAGCCACAAAGUGUUUCAUUGCUUCUCACUUGAAGUCUACACUGUAGGACUGUUGCCCCCUUCUUUAAGUACCUAAAAACUGAUUAUAGCUAAAUACCACAAGGACUGCUAUUACUGGAGUGCAAGCUGUCCCCAGACAACUCCUGCAGAAGAAAUAAGUUUUAAACAUGAAAAUGCAGAAUGAAACAAAAGGUGUAGAAAAGAUUACCAAAUUCAGACAUGCUUCAAAUGUUCCCCACAUCCUCUAAAAUGCAUGUAUCAGAGGUAGGGAGAAGUUUCAGUUCUGUUUGCAGCAGUCAAAUUCUUUUCCACAAUCCAGACUGUCCCAACAUUUACAUCCACUUUUCAGCCCUGAGUGCUCCCCAUUCUCUCCAGAGAUCAGCUUAGCACAAUGUCAGGGACUUUGCACAUUGUCAAUGGCAGAUACAAGUGCCAUUGGCACUGCAUUGGAACUACAGAAGACCUUUCCAUGUAGAAGACCACACUGGAAACACACAAAACCAUAUGUUUCCCCUUCUUUCACGUUUCAGCAUGUUAACAGAGCCAUGCAUCAGAGAAGUGCUGCAAGAAAUCAGAGUGAUCACACAGAAGUCAAACCCAUUCCAGCCAUAGCUAAUGAAGAAUACCUAUUGACAGUGUUAGGAAUAUUAGUAAUUCGUGAAGAUAAAUAGUAUAUAAAUAUAUAUAUGUGAACUGGGGAGAGAAAAAAGGGGCGGGGGGAAU